CUCAAUUAAACCAUGUUUUCUGUAGCUCUGUUCCUGCUGUUGGCAGGUGGAUCAUGUGUACAGUGUGAGCAGUUGACACAGAAAGCCUCUGAGACUGUACAGCCAGGUCAACGUCUGACCAUCACCUGUCAGGUUUCCUAUUCUGUGACCAGCCGCUGGACAGCUUGGAUAAGACAGCCUGCAGGGAAAGGCCUGGAGUGGAUUGGAAGUAGAGUUGGUGCAAGUUUAGCUUAUAAAGAUUCACUAAAAAACAAGUUCAGUAUCAGCUUAGACUCUUCCAGCAACACCGUGACUCUGACUGGACAGAAUAUGCAGCCUGAAGACACAGCAGUGUAUUACUGUGCCAGAGACCCACAAUAA